GGUGUCUGAAGUAAAAGCUUGCUACGAUCCUGUAUCUCGCCACCGAUGUGGUAAGGCAAGCCGCAAUUGGCAAAUGAAACAAAUUCGCCGCGUUCAAACAUAAUGAUUUCUGCACUUUCACUUAAGUGAAAGUGCACGCGCUGCUGCUGAAGCUCCUCCCGCAACGCCAC
rnacentral:antisense_RNA from 1 species